rnacentral:misc_RNA from 1 species
AACGCACCUUGCGCCCUUUGGUAUUCCGAAGGGCAUGCCUGUUUGAGUGUCAUUAUAUUCUCAACCUUGCAAAGCUUGCUUUGUUAGGCUUGGAUGUGAGGGCUUUGCUGGCUUCCAUUGAGUUGGAUGGUCUGCUCCCUUCAAAUUUAUUAGUGGGAUCCUUUGUGGAUGGUCACUUGGUGUGAUAAUUAUCUGCGCCGCCUGACUGUGAAGCAAAACUUGUGGGGACCUGCUUAUAACUGUCUCUUUGGGGACUAUCUUUGACUAUUUGACCUCAAAUCAGGUAGGACUACCCGCUGAACUUAA